GCCAAAUUCUGAAUUUAUAUGUGCCAAAUUCUGAAAUUUGAUAGAAAUUUUGAUUUAAUCAAUUUCAUUGUUACAAAUUGCUCCCCCUUUUUGUUGCUUUAUCUAAUCUACACAAAAUCUUUACUUCUCACCUAAAUAAAUACUCUUUCUUUACUUCUCCCCCUUUUUGUUAUCAUCAAAAAGAUACAUGGGAAAGAUGCAAUAAACAACAAACUUCAAACUUCAUUGAUCAAAAUAGGAACAUUUUCAUACAUUCAUGUCCUAAAACAAAAAAAACAGAUACAAUGUUCCUUAAUCAAGAUUUAAAGAUACAUGAUAAAAGCAAGAUACAUAUGAGAACUAGAUAUCUAGCCUAGGCUCUAAACAUAGAUGCUAAGAUCAGCCUAGGGAGACUCUAACGGCUGGGAUCUAGUCCUCAUCCUCCUAGUGUACGUGGCGAGGGGAGGUCAAGCCUGGUGGGACUGUGUCUGGCGUGGAGCACGACGAGCUGGAUGACUCUGUGCCGAAAUCUCUGACUCAGCAGCCUGUGGCACA
rnacentral:lncRNA from 1 species